rnacentral:lncRNA from 1 species
ACACAGAGAAGGUAACAUCAGACGGAUGGUGGUGAGACUCCAAGGAGCGUGUAAAUCGCUGAGCACCCGUGUCUGGCACUUGGGAAGCGCUCAGUAAAAAGGGACUGCUAUUAUCUGCUUGGCUUGCUCCUCUGGGCGUCGAGGUGUUGUUCGUCUGGUCUCUGAAACGCCUGGCGUACCCAGCCCGACCUAAGCGGGGACCCUGGCGACCUCCAAACCCAGCGCAGAGCAGGCGGUUCCGAGAGCGCCCCAGGGCAAGACGCACCGGAGGCCCGGCGGACCUCUGGCGGUGAUCUGGGCCGCAGCAACCCGGCCGGCCACGUCCUCGGUUAAGGUAAUCCAUCCACGCAGUAGCGCUAGGGUGCGGAGGUUUGAGCCUGAGAGACCCUUUUUCCUUUCUCCAGGCCUCAGUUUUUCUCUGGGAUUUAGAGCGAUUGAGGUGACGCGCAACCGCCGAAACGGUUUCCAAUCCACCCCGCUAGCCAUACAGGACGCAGCCCGGAUUCUCCGAAAAAAAAACAAAAAACAAAAAACCUCGGGUUCGCGACCCCCUCUUCCCUCCCCGGGGCAAGCCGAGUCUUAACCCGGGUCCGGCGUCUCCGGAUCCCCCCAACCUGGGCUGAGAUCGCCUGAGGCUGCGGGGUCCAAGAGGCUCCGGGAAGGAAGCUGGGUGGACGGGCUCAAUAGGGAUCAACUUGGCCGGCUGAUGACGAAACGGGGAAGGACUUUGGCCUUUGGAAAACGCAUCUCAUAAAUGGGGAUGGCUGGUGUGGCCCAGCGGGAUGGCAAAAAGGCGCACACUCGGAGGGCUUUGAGAGGCUCCUGAAGCUCUCUCCAGCUCGGCGCCGGAGCCGGGAGAAAUUGGUCGGAUCCCAGCUUCGCAGUAGAGCCCUGGGUUGGGAUCACACUUCGCGCUGGAGACCUGCCAACCGACCCCGGUAGCUUCCGCCCUGCUGGCACAUGGGAGUGCCCGGCGCCCACCUCCAAACUGGGAGUGACACAAAAGAAACUGGGAAGAAAGCGCUAGUCCUAACAGGUAACCUUGGUGCCAACCUCUCCAGCGCGCAGCCUCCACGAAGUUCUCGACUCUCUUCUGACGGGUUCCCAGGGUCACGGGAACGUCUCCGAAAACAGCCCUCGGAAAGGUAUCAUCCUUGGCCACUACGUUUAUUUGCACAACUUAAGGCGGAGUUGAAGAUCCUUUCCCACCUCCCCCACCCGUUACCAAUUUCUUUUCAUGGUGAUGCCUCAGAACCCAAGCCUGACCCCCGUUCGUUGUCCAGCGGAACGGCAGGCUGCAAAGCAAAGGGUACUUGAAUGAACUACCUUCCCCCUACAAACCGAAAAGAGCGUUUGUUAAAGGCCGAUCUCCUUGGAAGGAGAUAGGAAUGGUAAACGGAAUGUGAUUUGACACAGUCCUGAAAGGGCAGCAGGCAUCCAUCUCCCCCCCCCCCCCCCCGCCCCCCGGCCCCCCCCNCCCGGCCGCCGGCCCCCGCCCCCCAAUGAAUGCAUGUAGUUACCGCGUCCAUUUGCAGAGCUAGAUACCUCCCUUUCCCUCAGCCUGAAGUUUGUUGUUGUUUUGGUAGCAGAGAGAUUUCAAGUUCAAGGUUUUUCCCUCCAUCAUCUCCAAACCCCUCAGAUUCUGGCUGAUCCCUUGGCCCUGCCACUGCUAAGCUCAUCUUUCACUGGAGUUUGAAAAACUCCUAAGAGCAAUUUUCCAAGAGUAACACAAGCUGCCAGAGGAAGCAUUUCAAAGUAUUUUGCUAUUUUCAAUGGCUUUCUCUACCCCAGGCUGAAAAGUGGCCACAACUCUUGACUGAUUCCCAUUAAAAUCAUAAUAAAAAUCACCACCCCCUGCCCCCAUCUGGGUGGCAUUUCUGGGCUAAGUCCAGUUAAGAAGAGAGAGCGCCUCUUAAAAAUAAUUGUGACUUUGGACAGACUUUACUGCAAUAAAACAAACGUUUAAUUUAAUUCAGAAUAAGAGAUAAGAAAUAACUCUUCAAAUAAAAUAUAUAAAAUUAUACAAGGCACCCUUUCAAAGGGAUCAAAGUAUACUGGGGGAGGGGGGAGCUGGAUAGAAAGAUGAAAAUACCAGGGAGCUACAUGGGCUGUCUGACAACACCAUUUUUAGCAAGUCAAAACAUGGCUUUCCCCUCUGCCCCCAACAUGUUAAAAAGCAUAUAAAUUUUCUAAUAAGUUUAGCACAUACAAUAGGUACACACACAGAGAAAGCAUGAUUUUUUUUUUUCCUUUUUGGAUCUAUUCAUUGUUGGGGAAUAUUUAGCAUAUAGGUAAUGGUUACAAGACUUUUUUUUUUUUUUUUUGUAAGCAGAGAAUUAACUACAACCCACCCCCCCGAAAAAAAUCACCUUUGCAGUGUGUGAGGAUUGACAUACCUAGUAGUUCACAGAAACCAUCAAUUCCUCCCGACAUGCUUUAACUUUUCACUCUCCAAUUAUCUGAAAUGGAGUUAAGCAACAGCCUUGAGAGGAAUUAAGAAAGACUUCCAUUUUCCACCUUACCCCCAGGCACUCCCAGGAUUCUUCUCAUCCCCCUUUUAUGGAUGUUACAAAAACUUUUAACAGUGUGUAACAAACAAGGUUGGGGAGGGGGGAAUAGGGCCAAAUAUGGUCACAUCUAAUGAUUUUUUUCAAUGCAAUGCAUGGGAAAAAAAACACAAAAAACCCGAUGUGCCCCCUCCCUAGUGUCUAAUUCUAAUGUUUGUUUUCCACGAGCAAAAGUCAGUCAUCCCAUCCAAAUCACUGAAUUGUGGCAAUCUGAGCAAAUAAUUUGUCCCCCCCCAGAAGGAAGAAAAAAAAAAAAAAAAAA